UUGACCCGGCCGAACCGGUGGGCACUGUAGGUUUUUGUCCCUUUUGAAUUUGGAGCGGGGUGUCGUUCCCCUUUCUCAUUUGGAUAAGGCAGAGGGAGUGAGAGCUCGAGCGGCGGCGGAGGGCGGGGCGAUUCCUCGAGGCGAUUCCCCGUGUUCAUGGCGAUUUGGAGUUCAUCCGCCCCAGGAUUUUGACGGCAUCCUCUUCGUUCUUGUCGCCCGCGGCUGCUCUGGUUUUAAAUGGGCAAGCUACGGAAAGCUUGUCAUUGGGAUGUUCCUGUAGUAAGCAUUUGUGCCUAAUGAUUUUGCAGAAGAUGGUUCUUACCCUGUGUCUAUGGAAUUAUCUGAUGACGACGGAGGGAUUGACAAAGCUCUUCUGAAGUUCUAUCUUAAUCAAAAAGUAAAAUGCUUAAAGAGGAAAUUAUCAUCUGCUUCAAGGAGGAAUGUUGUGACGCCCGGAUAAUUAAGCUACAUUGUCGCAACCAGAUGUUGGAGCCCAGGAUCCAGACGCCACCGUCGAC